UAUGUAACUGUAUCAGAAUAAAUUAAACAAAUUGGAAUGAUACAGUGAAGAUUAGGAUUGGCCCCUGAGCAAGCACAAGUCGAGAUAUGCUCCUGAUGCUU
rnacentral:snRNA from 1 species